UACGUAGGGGGCAAGCGUUGUCCGGAUUUAUUGGGCGUAAAGAGCUCGUAGGCGGCUUGUCGCGUCGAAUGUGAAAACCCGAGGCUCAACUUCGGGCUUGCAUUCGAUACGGGCAGGCUAGAGUUCGGUAGGGGAGACUGGAAUUCCUGGUGUAGCGGUGAAAUGCGCAGAUAUCAGGAGGAACACCGAUUGCGAAGGCAGCUCGCUGGGACGUAACUGACGCUGAGACGCGAAAGCGUGGGGAGCAAACAGG
rnacentral:rRNA from 1 species